rnacentral:lncRNA from 1 species
UCAGUCAAAGGUGAGAGCAUCAUCUUCCUUUGAAUUUAGUGUUAAUUCUAAAUUAAAUUUAUGGUUUUUUUUCUUUUAAAUUAGGCUCGUUGAUUUGGUGGUUGAGGUUGAUGUGAUGAUAUAUUUUUUCUGUUAAGAUUUUUGGGUUGUUGAAUUAGGGCUGCCACCAAUUAGGUUAUGCUGUGUUGUGAUGAUUAUUUAAAAUUGACAAAGAAAUUAUGAACUGUUAGUUUCAUUAUACAAAUUAGGGCUGCUAGCAUUUAGGUUCUUCUGUUAAAUUAUUCUAAUUAGGGCUGCUACCAAUUCAUUUUUGUUUUAUGAAAUUAGGUU